GAUGAAGAACGUAGCGAAAUGCGAUAAGUAAUGUGAAUUGCAGAAUUCAGUGAAUCAUCGAAUCUUUGAACGCACAUUGCGCCCGCCAGUAUUCUGGGGGCAUGCCUGUUCGAGCGUCAUUUCAACCCUCAAGCCCCAGCGGCCUGGUGUUGGGGACCGGCGACCUCGCCCGAGCCCGCCCUCCGGGGCGCGUGCCCGGUGCGUCCGCCGCCCCCGAAAUGAAUUGGCGGCCUCGUCGCGGCCUCCUCUGCGUAGUAGCACAACCUCGCAAGCGGGAGCGCGACGCGGCCACUGCCGUAAAACGCCCAACUUUUUUAGAGUUGACCUCGGAUCAGGUAGGAAUACCCGCUGAACUUAAGCAUAUCAAUAAGCGGAGGA
rnacentral:misc_RNA from 1 species